CAACCUGCCCCACCACUUGGGGAUAACCUUGCGAAAGUAAGACUAAUACCCAAUGAUAUCUCUAGAAGACAUCUGAAAGAGAUUAAAGAUUUAUCGGUGAUGGAUGGGGAUGCGUCUGAUUAGCUUGUUGGCGGGGUAACGGCCCACCAAGGCAACGAUCAGUAGGGGUUCUGAGAGGAAGGUCCCCCACAUUGGAACUGAGACACGGUCCAAACUCCUACGGGAGGCAGCAGUGAGGAAUAUUGGUCAAUGGACGAGAGUCUGAACCAGCCAAGUAGCGUGCAGGAUGACGGCCCUAUGGGUUGUAAACUGCUUUUAUAAGGGAAUAAAGUGAGUCUCGUGAGACUUUUUGCAUGUACCUUAUGAAUAAGGACCGGCUAAUUCCGUGCCAGCAGCCGCGGUAAUACGGAAGGUCCGGGCGUUAUCCGGAUUUAUUGGGUUUAAAGGGAGCGUAGGCCGGAGAUUAAGCGUGUUGUGAAAUGUAGACGCUCAACGUCUGCACUGCAGCGCGAACUGGUUUCCUUGAGUACGCACAAAGUGGGCGGAAUUCGUGGUGUAGCGGUGAAAUGCUUAGAUAUCACGAAGAACUCCGAUUGCGAAGGCAGCUCACUGGGAGCGCAACUGACGCUGAAGCUCGAAAGUGCGGGUAUCGAACAGGAUUAGAUACCCUGGUAGUCCGCACGGUAAACGAUGGAUGCCCGCUGUUGGUCUGAAUAGGUCAGCGGCCAAGCGAAAGCAUUAAGCAUCCCACCUGGGGGAGUACGCCGGCAACGGU
rnacentral:rRNA from 1 species